GGAUGUGAGGGCGAUCUGGCUGCGACAUCUGUCACCCCAUUGAUUGCCAGGGUUGAUUCGGCUGAUCUGGCUGGCUAGGCGGGUGUCCCCUUCCUCCCUCACUGCGGUCGAAGAGGACGGCCUUCCCCGAAUAGAGAUGGACCGGUCUUCGGUCGAGGGUAUACGAGUAGCUGCGCUCCCCUGCUAGAAUCUCCAAACAAGCAAAUAGAUAUGUUGGUAAACUCUAGGGGUGCUUCCUCAUCAGUUUGCCUGACUGA
rnacentral:snRNA from 1 species